CUUGCGCUGGUCCGAGUUAUUUCGCGCCAUUUAUUUUAUUUCCUGUAGCAGGUUAUACUCUUUGUUUCUCGCGAAAACAUGGCGAAGGAGCGAGAAGCGUGGAUAGAAACAAUUGAUCUCAUCAGGGAAUUAUCUUAUUUGUGGAUAAAAAACACAAAGAAUACUUCAACCGCGACAUGAGACAGGAGGCAUUCAAAAUGCUAUUGCAACUUUUUAAUGAAGAGACCGGCAAAAACACAACACUGGCGGACUUUAAGAAAAAGCUUGAAAAUAUGCGUACUACGUAUGGAAGAGAGCUGAAAAAGGUGAAUGCUUCCAAGCAAACAGGAUCAGGGUCUAAUGACAUCUAUGUACCAUCGGUUUGGUAUUAUCGUCUCUUGGAAUUCCUAGAGGGGACGACGGAGCCAUGCCGACCUGGUACGGAUACUUUGGAUGAGAUUCAAUGGUCACCAGAGAUGUCAGCAUCAACAUCAUCGGAACAAAUUAUAAAUACAGAAAUAUGUGAAAAAGAGGUAACCAAGGUCUCCACAAAAAUUUCACAGUCCAAGAAGCAGAAAAUGUCUGUACAAAGUAGACAAGAAAAACUGCUGGAUUCUGCUCAGAUACUAAUGACUCGACAAGAUGACGACUGGGACAUUAUAGGAAAGUCAAUAGGCGUUCAAUUGAAAAAUCUGAGUACCCAUCAACAAUCAAUUGCCCAAAAAAUUAUCAAUGAUGCCCUAUUUUACGGAAAACUUGCCAAAUUGACAGACGAAUCUAUUAUCUCCACAACACACAGCAUCAAAUCCUUCUCGCAUUUCACAUCGCUCCUAUCAUUUUUCCUCUGGCUCUUCGGUGACAAAUUCAUCGCCCCAACCAUAUUAUCAACAAUAUCCAGUACAGCCGUCCCCUCAAUCAUCUACACAAUAUAUGAUACCACAGUCCCCUCAAGCAUCUCCAACAAUAUAUGACAUUACAAUCUCCUCAACCAUCUUCACAGCUUACGCUACAACCUUCUUUUCAACCAUCCCAACAUUAUAUGAUACCACAAUCCCCUCAAAUAUCUUCACAGCUUACGGUACAACCUUCUCCUCUACCAUCCCAACAUUAUAUGACACCACAAUCCCCUCAAACAUCUUCGCAGCCGUAUUCUUCAUCGUCGAACACUGAACCUCUUAACACUGAAUUUCCAAACUGUACAUUUAGUGAUACAACAAUAAAAAUAGGAACUGGCGCAGAUAUGACGGAUUUUUUGAUCUUCAAAAAAAAAAAGAACACAAGUAAAUAAUAUUAAUACAUACCUUAUAUUUUUUAAAUAAAUGAAAAAAUGGUUUUUAA